rnacentral:lncRNA from 1 species
UCCCUCCAGAUUCCUGUGAGCCCAGAGGGAGGGACUGUUACUGCGGUCACUGAGGAGUCCCGUGGUGCCUUGGAUUCACAGACUGGUCAGUUACUUACUUCAUCCGGGCUCCUUUUCUUCAGGUUUGCGAUGUCCUUCCUGCAUUUCUGCGUCCUGCAUCUCACCUCCAUUUCUUCCGCACGCCCUCCUUCUCCCUCUCACCUUCCCCUUUUUAUCCUUGAUUCAGAGCAGAGAUAACAAUGACUCGACUUGUUCACAUACGAAAAUAGCUCGCUUGUCAGAGCUGCAUGGGGACUGGUGCCACGGAAAUUCUGUGAGCAGAAGAACAGUUCAGAUCAGAGAAUUUUCUUUGGGUUUGGAGUGCUCCCUGGUCGUGGUCGUCUCCAGUCCACACCCCAUCCUGGGGAGGAGCCUGAUCCCAAUGAAGAUGAAGAAAAGUGCUAAAAAGUGUGUUUACUGCCAUCUAUGGGAUGUACCGGGGCUGCCAUCCCCUUUCCCUGGAACUCACGGGAGGCUCCAGUUACAAAGCAACGCGGAAAUGUUUGUGCGCAGCAAGCCCAGGCAUGGCACUGAGCGUCCACGGGAAAAUACCACUGAAAAAUCAUCGGUGUAACGUUUUCCAGAAAUAGAAGUUCAUAUUGCUGCUGUAGAGAGGCAGAGAGCUAUAGAAUAGAGUCCCCUAUUCAAGGCAAUCAUAUUUAUGUGUAAGUAACAUACGGGCACAGGGGCCCCACUCAUAACUAGGAAAUCUGACUUGUGAUUACCCUCAAAUAUCCUGGCAGAGACUGCUAGAACUAGGGAUUCAUUUGCUGGAUGAUUCUGAAUAUUCUGAAGAUGUCCAAGAAUGAGGAAAUGAUAAAGACUCUGGAUGGCCACAAUAGAUGUACAAAAUAUAUGUGUUGUGCCCUGUGAACUCAACUCGUGGAUCAGGCUUCCCAGGCUAUUAGAACAAAUUUUAUUGUUUUAGUAUCAGAAGCUCUUUUUACCAGAGGCAGCAAAUUACAAGAGGGGGCAGAGGUUUUGAAAGCCAUACAUUUGAGGGAAGCAAAAAGGGAUAGCACAUACCCUAAAACUUAAGAAAAGAAGAGGAAGACAAAAAAAUAGAUACAAGAGAGCAAAGUACUUUGGACAAUCACGGUAAAGUGUAGCAAUCAACGCUCAUGUUAAUGAUUCUAUUCUCAAAUAAUGGUUAAAUUUUGUUAGGUCUGUUAAGUCAUUAACAUGAAAGGACCAAAGGAUAUGACAACAUAGUUCACAGAAAGAGAGAUAUGAAUGAUCUUU